rnacentral:rRNA from 1 species
UACCGAGGGUGCAAGCGUUGUUCGGAAUUAUUGGGCGUAAAGCGCGUGUAGGCGGCAGUGCAAGUCGGGUGUGAAAGCCCUCGGCUCAACCGAGGAAGUGCGCUCGAAACUGCAUUGCUUGAGUACCGGAGAGGAUGGCGGAAUUCCCGAAGUAGAGGUGAAAUUCGUAGAUAUCGGGAGGAACACCGGUGGCGAAGGCGGCCAUCUGGACGGAUACUGACGCUGAGACGCGAAAGCGUGGGUAGCAAACAGG